ACAUGCUUGAGAUUCCUGCUCUGCUUCAGGAAAGAUCAAAGCACAGUGGUCAAAUACCUGUGUGAAUCCCUGAUAAACAGGCAAGGACAGCAGGUUUGGUCAUCCUCUAGCAUGGACUAAGCCCUGUGGUGCCUGUGUCCCACCUGUGUGCCUCUGCCUGGGUGCUGCUUUGGGGAUCCCCUGGUUGGUGAGCAAAGACAUCCAAUUCCAAGAGAUUAACUCCAUUAUUCUGGUGUUUGAGUGGCAUUAAGAGAAGACUGCAGAGGUGGGUGCAGAUUGGCUGUGCACCAGGCUCAUUGGGGCACCAUCAAUAUUGUCGUUCCUUCAGAAGAUCAGAAUUCAGUCAGAAUAAAAUAUACACAAAAUACAAUUUGCAAGCCAGCUGACAGUGACUGCCCAACCACUGGACACCCAAGGACCAUACAAAGCUAGCGGCACAACAGGACACGGUGGACAUGGGGAAGUGUUCUGAAGAAGAAGAGCAGAAAGGUAGAGGAAGGAAACACGGAUGAGACCAAGGAAUUGCAGAUAGGUAUGAACUCAGCAGAAGGUAAACCCAAUAUAAGCACUUGUUUGACAAGGUAAUUUAUAGUCUCUCUUAAUAAGUACUAUUGGCUCCUCCUGAAUAUACAGCUAGAGAGAUUAAGUCCUGGGAAUCAUGUUUUGUGGUAAAAUGCUUCCUCUGGCAGCCAUCAUCAAGGAAAUAAAUUUUUUUUUUUUUUUUUUAAAUUUUCAAACAGAAAGGACUUAGAUCUUUGGCGAAACGGAGUGUCCACUCCCUUUGGCUUGCUUUCAGUUCUGGUUGAAGGGUCCAUAGAAGUAUGUUUGCAGUCUCACAAGAAUGACAAAAAGGGGGAGAGCGGAAAGAGGCAGAGAAGAGGAAGUGGGGGGAACUGAAAGAAGGUUCUUGCUGCUGUCAUUGCGCACCUUCAAUCCCUUGCUCCCAUCUGCUCUAGCAAACAGCGUGCGCUACAGGGCUCUGUCACCACCGUGCUCUGCCCUUCCUGCUGUUCUCCCUUUGGUAUCGAGCCCUGUCUUCCUCUGCAGAGUGGGGGGCUCAGGUGUCACAGCCUGAUUGUGGAGGAGAUAUUUGUCCCUUGUUUGAUCCUGUGUACCUGUGCCUGUCUGCCAGCUCAGCUCUCUCACUGCAGCUUGCUGCUUGUGGAAGUGUGGCACUUCACCACAGCCCAGAUGGACCAAAUGCAUGGACAGGAAACAGGGCCCUGAUGCUCCAUGGGAGUCAGACAAAAUUUAUCAAAGUACAUAAACUACCUUUUGAAAAGUGGGACGUUGGGGUAAAAGGAUUCAAUAGAUCCUGUUGCCAUG